rnacentral:rRNA from 1 species
CACGUAGGGCGCAAGCGUUGUUCGGAAUUACUGGGCGUAAAGGGUUCGUAGGUGGCCAACUAAGUCAGACGUGAAAUCCCUCAGCUUAACUGGGGAACUGCGUCGUGAUACUGGUUGGCUUGAGUGCAGGAGAGGAACGCGGAAUUCCAGGUGUAGCGGUGAAAUGCGUAGAUAUCUGCAGGAACACCCGUGGCGAAAGCGGCGCGCUGGACCACUACUGACGCUGAGGAACGAAAGCUAGGGGAGCAAACAGG